AUGAGGCUGCUUACACUCUUUGCACCCAGAGGUUUGCAGUAAGUCUGGGCUCCACAUAGAACACAUGUGGUGCUUCUGGACAUCUUCAUGGAAGAGUUCUUUUUCAGAAAUCUGAGAAAGUCUCAAUCUGAGGGGCAGAGGGAACCUCAAAUGCCCAGCCACGUUAACUACUGGUCAUCUCUGGGUGUUGUUCUGGAUAUAUCUCACUGAAGAGCUAAGGUGAUAAAGUUCUUGGUUUAAUAGAAUUGUAAAUAAAACAUUACUAGCUCCUGUAGAACAUUGUCCUCGGAUGCAUCCUACGACUAUUUUAGAACAUGCUUUGAAUAGUCUCAGUAGGUUACCUGAGGAGGAAUUUAUUUUUGCCUGACAGCAACUCCAUGCCGUUAAUAGUGACAAGACUAUACCAAAAAGAUGUUUUAAUCAAAGUUUCUUUACAACAAAGAUACUCCUCUAAAAUCCAGCACUUCUUUCAAAAGGGUAGAGACAAAUGUGAGGAAUGAGAAGGUCUUCCAAAGAACAACAAAAAAAAUACUUAUUUUUCAAACAGAAUAAAACUCAUUCUAACUUGUAAUUGCCAGAUGGCACCAUUGGGCAAUUUAAAAAAUCCAGGACACAUGAUGGAGUCUCUAUGAUCUCAUUUUUCCUCUCUCUUGAAAAUCUCUAUUUCAUGAACUCAGGACUUACUUCAUUAUGACUCAUCAAUUAUUCCCAACAAUGCUAAAAGGAGUAAAAUGAUAAGAAAAUAGAAUAAUGAUGCAGUUGCCUGGAAGGGUGAUGCAAUUACAAAAUAAAUCACCAUCCUCAUCAUCAUUCAUUUUUCUUACUGUUCUGAAAUGUCACUGUCAUUCAAGAACAUUUAAAAGAAGUCUGGAAUCAUUCUAAUGAUCUACUUCUAGUUUCAUUGAACACAGCUUAGAAUUUACACAUUCUAUGUUUCAUCCAUAACUGCAAAAAGAAGAAAAUGGACAAAGGAAGAUGUUUAGGUUAUUAGAUGAACCAGAAGAUAAAUGCAAAAGAGGGAGGAAACAGAAUGAUAAACUUUAAUUUAGAGUGAAAUUGAAAUUAAUUGUUCAAAUGAAAUCUCAGACCAUGGAUUUUCAGAUGACAGUGAAUUUUCUCAAACUCAAGAAUCAAUGAAUGAACAAUUCAUUUCAAAGGACAAAAAUGAAAUAGGAUAUUCUCAUCAACUUAGUCCUUCAACCAGAAGGACUUUAUCAGGUAAUAUUUUGUGGCAAGAACCUAACCUAUCUCAUUUUAAGAGUAUAUUAUAAUAUUUUUCAUUUUUUAUAAAAUAUGUGUGCCAAAAUUUAUAGUUUUUAAGUGUGCAAAUGUCAAUGAAAGGUAAAGGCAGGUAUCAGAAUGAAAUCAAUAAUGUAUAAAUUUAAAAACUCCUCAGUGGAUGUAUCAUUCUAAACACUGUUUAUAAAGCUAAAAAUAAAAAUGUCUUGCAGUUAUGGAA